rnacentral:rRNA from 1 species
UACGGGGGGGGCAAGCGUUGUUCGGAAUUACUGGGCGUAAAGGGCUCGUAGGCGGCCAACUAAGUCAGACGUGAAAUCCCUCGGCUUAACCGGGGAACUGCGUCUGAUACUGGAUGGCUCGAGUUUGGGAGAGAGAUGCGGAAUUCCAGGUGUAGCGGUGAAAUGCGUAGAUAUCUGGAGGAACACCGGUGGCGAAGGCGGCAUCCUGGACCAACACUGACGCUGAUGAGCGAAAGCCAGGGGAGCAAACGGG